GUAAUCCCAUGACUGGGAGCCACACUUUUGUUUCUCUCACACUGUUCAACAACAUGAUAACUGCUCACACAAGUGAAGGUCAAACAGUGAUUUUGUUACAUAACUCAGACAUAGGUUACGAAAUAUGUCGUCACAUAGAUCUAACCUACCCUAUCCACUGUACUAUUUCUGCACUUACGUUGCCAGCUGAAUACCAGAAUAUGACAUUGUGGUCAAAAAGUGAGAAUGAUAUAGGAUUUAUUGACUGCAUACCUUAUCACGCACAGCUAAAAAACAAAAAGCGAGUAUAUGUCAGGCAAUGUCCCCUUUCCACGGAAAAAGCCGCAGCUCUAGAUGUCAUCAUAGGAGAUUUAUUGACUACAGGAGCAAUAAAGCCCACACUCCUGUCAAUCCUGUGCCAAAGCCUAACAAACCUGGCGUAUGGCGUUUCAUACAAGACUUAAGGCAAAUUAAUGCAGUCAACAUUCCUCUGCCACCUCUCGUUUCAGAUGUUCACAGCAUAUUAACAUGCAUUGCAUACACAUUUUACCGUGGUGGAUUUAUGCUCCGCUCCUUUUUCUCAUGAAGACACACAGCCGUUAUUUGCAUUCACACAUAGAAAUAAGCAGUACACUUGGACUCGUUUGCCCCAAGGCAUGAUAGACAGCUCUGCUGCUUUCUCAAUGGUGCUUCACUCCUCCAGGGCUGCACCCUGAUCCACAUGUGGAUGACCUCCUCCUCUGUGCUGAAAGUGAAAAACUAUGUCAAACUGCUACACACAUGCUUCUCCAGCACCUCCAAAAGACUGGCCACAAAGCAUAUGCAAAGAAAAUGCAGUACUGUCAGACUUCUGUUCAAUAAUUGGGAUUCACACUGUCUCACGGAAAACGUUCCAUGACUGCAGACAGGGUCAAAGCUGUGACCUCCGUCCCUCGUCCCACUACACAGAAGGACAUGUUGUCCUUCCUGGGCAUGGUGAACUAUUGCAGACAGUGGAUACCAGACUGUUCUUUUCAUGACCACAUUCUGCGUGACUGUUGUAAAAAAGACAAGCCUCCUCGAAUACUGUGGUCCACAGAAAUGACUGCCUCUUUCAAUGCAUUACAGGGAGUGCUGACCUCCGCCACUCAAAGGUGCUGCCUGAAUUGUUCAGGAAUGCCGGCCUGCCUGAGGGCAGUAGCAGCUUGCUCUAUCAUGAUAAGGGACUGCGAGAAGCUCACACUCUCACAUGACACUAUUCUACACACCAAUCACCAGGUCACGACCAUUCUAGCAAACAUAACUACACAACAUAUGCAAAUCUCACAUUUAUUGAUCCUAUACUGUGUUCUUCUGACCGACAGGAUGGCUCAGACAGGCUUGAUGAUCAUGACUGCAUGACACGUAUACAGGAAUCCACAGCACCAUGUCCAGAUUUAGAGCAAACACCUAUCCCAGACUCAGCCACGGUUUAUGUGGACGGGUCCUGUUCAAGGCCGAAUGACAACUCAUUUCUUUGUGGCUAUUCAGUGGUAACAGUGCCUGACAUCAUACUAGAGGCUCACUCAUUACCAUUUCACUCAGCACAAAAAGCAGAGCUCAUGGCUUUAAUACGCGCCUGUGAGCUACAUUUGGAUAAGCAUGUGACAAUUUACGCAGACAGCCGCUAUGCAUUUGGCGUUGUGCAUGACUUUGGCACAUUGUGGAGACAGAGAGGAUUUAGAUCUGCUGAUGGAAAAUAAAUUGCUAAAUUCUGAUUUUGUUCAAAGACUUUUUCAGGCUAUACAGCUGCCAUCGGCCGUUGCAGUUGUAAAAACGAAAGGACACAGUACAGCUGACACAGACGAAGCAACAGACUAUUUCCAAGACCAUGGUCAGCUUCCAGAGGGGCACCGCUAGUAGAAGGUGAUGUAUAUUGCAUUGUCCACUGAUGUUCACAACCUGGUAGAAAAACUGAAUAAUAACUAUCAGAAAGUUUGUCUCUCUCAGCUUUUCCCCUCCACAGUUCCACCAGUGGAGACAAGGAGACGCAUGUUGGAGAAGCCACUAAAACCAAGGACUCUCUGGGAGGCCGCGCGUGUUCCAGCCCC
ensembl:lncRNA